rnacentral:rRNA from 1 species
AUUGGACGCUGGCGGUAUGCUUAAGACAUGCAAGUCGAACGGAAUCUUCGGAUUCAGUGGCGGACGGGUGAGUAACACGUGGGAAUCUACUGAGUAGUGGGGGACAGCCCGGCGAAAGCCGGAUUAAUACCGCAUACGCCCUACGGGGAAAGGCGCAAGCCGCUAUUUAAUGAGCCCGCGUAAGAUUAGCUAGUUGGUGAGGUAAAGGCCCACCAAGGCAACGAUCUUUAGCUGGUCUGAGAGGAUGGCCAGCCACAUCGGGGACUGAGACACGGCCCGGACUCCUACGGGAGGCAGCAGUCGGGAAUAUUGGACAAUGGGCGCAAGCCUGAUCCAGCAAUACCGCGUGUGUGAAGAAGGCCUGCGGGUUGUAAAGCACUUUCAGUUGGGAAGAUAAUGACGUUACCAACAGAAGAAGCACCGGCGUAACUACCGUG